AGAAACUACGGUCUGGUGUUGUUACCAACAAGAUUUGAGUUGAUUAACUCUGUUGAGGCUGCUCGUUGUUUUCAAAGCUAGACAAAAUAAAAUGAAAUCACUGACAAUUACAGUUUGUGUUUGUCUGGUAGUCAUUGCAUUCACUGCUGUCCUGACUCAGGCCCAUUGUCCAGUUAUCUGCCCCUUGAUCUACUACCCUGUGUGUGCCAGCAAUGAUCAGACGUUUGAUAAUGAAUGUCUAAUGCAAGCCUACUCGUGUCGACAACAUCUGAGCCUUACAAAGAAACACGAUGGUCCUUGCUAAAACACUUCAUAUGAAGGAACACUACUCACUUUUAUUCAAAUUAAUGUCAACCUAUUUUCUGAAAAAUAUCUUAGCUUUAUAAGUUUUUUGUUGUAUACAAAUUUAGAGGUGGAUGGAAAUAAAACACCUGGCCAGCUAAUAGAAAA
rnacentral:sRNA from 1 species